GCCCAGGUGCUGGAAUUGGUAGACAGGCAUGGUUGAGGGCCAUGUGUCCGCAAGGGUGUGAGGGUUCGACUCCCUCCCUGGGCA
rnacentral:tRNA from 1 species